rnacentral:rRNA from 1 species
GACGGGUGAGUAAUGCCUAGGAAUCUGCCUGGUAGUGGGGGACAACGUUUCGAAAGGAACGCUAAUACCGCAUACGUCCUACGGGAGAAAGCAGGGGACCUUCGGGCCUUGCGCUAUCAGAUGAGCCUAGGUCGGAUUAGCUAGUUGGUGGGGUAAUGGCUCACCAAGGCGACGAUCCGUAACUGGUCUGAGAGGAUGAUCAGUCACACUGGAACUGAGACACGGUCCAGACUCCUACGGGAGGCAGCAGUGGGGAAUAUUGGACAAUGGGCGAAAGCCUGAUCCAGCCAUGCCGCGUGUGUGAAGAAGGUCUUCGGAUUGUAAAGCACUUUAAGUUGGGAGGAAGGGCAGUAAGCUAAUACCUUGCUGUUUUGACGUUACCGACAGAAUAAGCACCGGCUAACUCUGUGCCAGCAGCCGCGGUAAUACAGAGGGUGCAAGCGUUAAUCGGAAUUACUGGGCGUAAAGCGCGCGUAGGUGGUUCGUUAAGUUGGAUGUGAAAGCCCCGGGCUCAACCUGGGAACUGCAUCCAAAACUGGCGAGCUAGAGUACGG